GUUGAGAUGGACAAUGGUAGCUCUGUUGAAAGGCUGAGGCUGGGCUCUGAAAGAGCGCAUUUUAAUUGAGCACUUUCCACCCUGAGAUCCGUGGGGAUCUGGUGGCCCACUCCUCGCCUAGUCAUUUUUGUCUUUGCAGCUUCAGAACCAAGUUAUUGAAACCCCUUGUUCCCUUUCCAGCCUGGGCUGGUUUGUUCCGCAAUGGUGGUUUCAGUGGGUCUCAUUGACCCCUCUGCAUAAGGAGAGCUCCUUUUUGUUAAAGGCCUACUGCAUGCCGAGCACGGGAACUUACAUUUGAUGAAGGCCUGCAUGCUCGGUUCUCUCAUUUAGAGACUUGGCUCUCUUUUGUUGAUUUUUCUUCCUUGUUGUCCUAGGCCCAAACCAAAUAAGAACAUGCAUGUCUCGAGGAACAGCCUUUCCCAUGGUCAAGCUCAGCGUGCCUUCUGCCAGGCCUGUCCCCUUACCACCAUCUCCAUUGGAUUCAUCUGUACAAAACACACUUGCCACUAGUC
rnacentral:lncRNA from 1 species